rnacentral:rRNA from 1 species
AAGCGGUGGAGCAUGUGGUUUAAUUCGACGCAACGACGAAGAACCUUACCAGGGCUUGACAUCCCCUGACCGCGUAUGAAAGUACGUUUUCACCUCGGGUGACAGGGAGACAGGUGGUGCAUGGUUGUCGUCAGCUCGUGUCGUGAGAUGUUGGGUUAAGUCCCGCAACGAGCGCAACCCCUACGUUUAGUUGCUAACGCGUGAAGGCGAGCACUCUAGACGAACUGCCGUUGACAAAACGGAGGAAGGUGGGAUGACGUCAAAUCAUCAUGCCCCUUAUGUUCUGGGCUACACACGUGCUACAAUGGCCGGUACAGACGGACGCAAAGCCGCGAGGUGGAGCAAAUCCUAAAAAGCCGGUCUCAGUUCGGAUUGCAGGCUGCAAUUCGCCUGCAUGAAGUCGGAAUCGCUAGUAAUCGCAGGUCAGCAUACUGCGGUGAAUACGUUCCCGGGCCUU